UUUAUGGAGAGUUUGAUCCUGGCUCAGGAUGAACGCUGGCGGCGUGCCUAAUACAUGCAAGUCGAGCGAACUGACGAGGAGCUUGCUCCUUUGACGUUAGCGGCGGACGGGUGAGUAACACGUGGGUAACCUACCUAUAAGACUGGAAUAACUCCGGGAAACCGGGGCUAAUGCCGGAUAACAUAUCGAACCGCAUGGUUCGAUAGUGAAAGACGGUCUUGCUGUCACUUAUAGAUGGACCCGCGCCGUAUUAGCUAGUUGGUGAGGUAACGGCUCACCAAGGCAACGAUACGUAGCCGACCUGAGAGGGUGAUCGGCCACACUGGAACUGAGACACGGUCCAGAC
rnacentral:rRNA from 1 species